GAUGAACGCUGGCGGCGUGCCUAAUACAUGCAAGUCGAACGCUGGAAAUCUAGCUUGCUAGAUUGAAGGAGUGGCGAACGGGUGAGUAAUACAUAAGCAACCUACCCACGAAGACUGGGAUAAUCUCUGGAAACGGGGACUAAUACCGGAUAGGUAAUCGGAAGGCAUCUUCUGAUUAUUAAAGGUUAAAAACACUGUGGAUGGGCUUAUGGCGCAUUAGUUAGUUGGUGAGGUAACGGCCCACCAAGACGAUGAUGCGUAGCCGGCCUGAGAGGGUGAACGGCCACAUUGGGACUGAGACACGGCCCAGACUCCUACGGGAGGCAGCAGUAGGGAAUUUUCGGCAAUGGGGGAAACCCUGACCGAGCAACGCCGCGUGAGUGAUGACGGCCUUCGGGUUGUAAAGCUCUGUUGUAAGGGAAGAACGGUAGAUAGAGAAUAUCUAAAUGACGGUACCUUACCAGAAAGCCACGGCUAACUACGUG
rnacentral:rRNA from 1 species